CAGGGCAUCCAUGUCUUGUAAUUGGAAUGAAUAGAAUGUAUACCCUUUUAUGAGUAUCAAUUGGAGGGCAAGUCUGGUGCCAGCAGCCGCGGUAAUUCCAGCUCCAAUAGUGUAUAUUAAAGUUGUUGCGGUUAAAAAGCUCGUAGUUGGAUUUCUGCCAAGGCUGGCCGGUCCGCCCUUUGGGUGAGUAUCUGGCUUGGCUGGAGCAUUUUCUUGGAGGGCAUUGCUGCACUUGACUGUGUGGUAUGCAACCCAAGACUUUUACUUUGAGGAAAUUAGAGUGUUUCAAGCAGGCUCACGCCUUGAAUACAUUAGCAUGGAAUAAUAAGAUAAGGCCUUGGUUGUAUUUUGUUGGUUUCUAGAAUUGAGGUAAUGAUGAACAGGGAUACUUGGGGGCAUACGAAUUUAAUUGUCAGAGGUGAAAUUCUUGGAUUUGUUAAAGACGGACUACUGUGAAAGCAUUUGCCAAGAAUGUUUUCAUUUAUCAAGAAUGAAAGUUAGGGGGUCGAAGAUGAUCAGAUACCGUCUUAGUCUUAACCAUAAACUAUGCCGACUAGAGAUUGGAGGUUGCUAUCUAUACGACUCCUUCAGCACCUUAUGGGAAAUCAAAGUCUUUGGGUUCCGGGGGGAGUAUGGUUGCAAGGCUGAAACUUAAAGGAAUUGACGGAAGGGCACCACCAGAAGUGGAGCCUGCGGCUUAAUUUGACUCAACACGGGGAAACUUACCAGGUCCAGACAUAGUAAGGAUUGACAGAUUGAUAGCUCCUUCUUGAUUCUGUGGGUGGUGGUGCAUGGCCGUUCUUAGUUGGUGGAGUGAUUUGU
rnacentral:rRNA from 1 species